UAUUCUACAAUUUUCUUCUUUUCCUCUUCACUGUAAUUGCUUCACACCACUACGAGCGAGGAAUUAGUUUUGUUGUUUCAAAUCCAAAUCUCGGCAAAACCCACUCCCCAUUUUGGCUAGAAGUUUGUAUCACACACAGCUUUACUUUGUAUCGUGGAAAGAUGUACUUGCUGUAACGUUCAUUGGAGAUCAGAAUUACCAUUUCACUUUGGAGUUUGCUGUGUUUGCCGAAAUCGUUUGUUGAGCAUGUUUGAAGGUUUACGGAAGGCUACAGGUGAGUUUGUUAGGCCCAUAGGGGCAUCCCACAAAUGUGGCUACCCGCGGAAGACCGUCCGGGACGGUGGCUGAUAUCCUGACUAUCCUAACAUUAGAGUUUGGUCCUCACUAGUAGCAAAAUGUGAAUUUCUUCACCAUCGGUUGACGAUUAUUUCAUUUUUGUGUUUCAAAUGAAUUGGGAAUUGUCAAGCUUUAUAUUUAUAUGCUUCUGUAUUUUACAUGCUCAACUCUUUUAGCUUGAUUUACUUUUCGUUCGUCCUUGGUACAUUAUUUCGUUACCCCUACUGGGCUGUGGCUCACCCCGUUUUGGUUUUGUUUUCCACAGAGUACGAAGCGAGGUUGAGGCAGUAAGCUUGGAAGAGCUUGCAGCCAGCAGCUUGAGCAAAAGUUGGUAUUUUUGCUUUGUCUAUAAUGUGUAUAUCACUGGGUUAUCUGAGUGGUUUUUAAUUUCUUGCUUGACCAAUGCUUUUGUAGCUUAUUUUGUUGUGUACUUAUUAAUGGGAUCUUAUAGAAAGUCUCUAUAUAGUUUGUGUGUGUGGCUUGCUUAUGUCGCAGAUGAACUGUCGAAAUUUUGGUGCAUAUAGGACUGCUUGAAAAAUGCAUCUUGUUGUUUAGUUUUUGAUGUAAUAGCAUACCUCUUUAUGUAAAUAUGCUAAGGUCGUACUUCAGAUGUAUUAAACUACGUACAAACUUUGGGUUUCAAUUUAUAUAUGUUACCAUCCUUUG